GCAAUUCACCAAUUGUGAAUUCAAUAAUUGACUCCAACAACCCAAAACUUCAAUACUUAGUCAAUGCAAAUUAAUAAAUUUUUAAAUAACUACAAAAAUCUUUAGCUUUGUUCUCCAUACUUCCUUGUCCAGAACCAAAAAAUCAUGAGCAAGCUUUUUCGUUAUUCUAGGUUUGGUUUCUCCCAAUUGGCGAGGCUUUGCUGGGAACUGUGAUUGAAAACUUACAAUCUUUUUUGCCCAAGACGAAUUUACUAUGUUUUGGGGUGCUGAGAAAAAACAAGUAACAGGUCAUGCAGUGAAGGAUUGGCUGCAAAAACUAACAGAUGCAGCAUAUGUGCUUCAUGAUAUCUUGGAUGAAUGUUCAAUACAAUCCAUCUAUCCCAUAUUUGGCAUGGCUGGACUUGGGAAAACAACACUUGCCAAACAGGUCUUCAAUGAUGCAAACAUUUUGACUGGACUAUUUGGGUCUGUGUUUCUAAUGAUUUCAACACAAAGACAAUACUGCAAUCCAUCAUAGAAUGUAGCAUGGGACAAAAUCCUAACCUCAACAACACUUUAGAAUUUACUUGUUCUUGAUGAUGAGUGGAACGAAGACCUAGAGAAAUGGAAGGAGUUGAAGGGAAUGUUGCAGCGUGCAAGGGGAAGAAAAGGAGCUACCAUUUUAAUCACUACUCAGACUUGACUUGAACAAGUCUUUGUUGGGUUUUUUUUUUCCCUUUCUUCCUAUUUGGGGUAAAGUUCCAAAUGAAAAGAUUCAUGUUAUCUCACUUUUUUUAAGUGAAUAUUAGUCAGAUUAAGGAAAGAGACUCAUCUCUCAGGAAAAUAAAAUACAAAAUAUUAAGAGAGACACAAGAGAAAAAAUCAUUUGAUUUUCCCACCACCAGAGAGCAUUUUGGAUUGUCAAAAUGAUAUCUACAAAGAAAUAAGUGUUUCGUAUUCUAUACUUGGUAUUUUUGGAAUUUCAUUUUCUGGUCUCUAUGGUAAGUAUUGAUGCUUUAUUUUGAUUUGGUGGUUUGUAGCACAUUUUAGGGUAUUUAUUGGUGACUCUCUUGUACCUUUAUUGAGUUAUUUUUUUGGUCUGAAUGACCCAUAAUUUUUAUUUUUGUAUUAAGGAUUUUUUCAUUAAACAAAUUGUAUCUCUUGAUUUCUAUUUUAUACUCUAUAUUAUUGGUCUUUCUGACAAGUUCUUGCCUUUUCCUUUUGGAGAGAAUUUAUUUCCAUGACCUAUUACUCUCUUAUUGAAUUUGUUAGUGUGUUAACCAGUUUUGCCCAUCAUGGAAACCCAUCCUGCAUAUCGUUUGAUAGAACAGUUGGUCAUUGUUGAAACAUUAUGCAUUUGGACCAAAUAGAGAACAGAGGGAAGAGCUUGUAGCAAUCGGCAAAGAGAUUGUGAGGAAAUGCGUUGCUUCGCCACUUGCAAUCCAGACAUACGGGAAGUGAGUUUUGGAAAGGAAAGUUCCAUCACUGGCUAAGGUGGGGAAUGUUGGCAGUUGGCAUCAGUCCUGGCUGUAGAACCUUGUGGCUUUUGCUUCCAAUCUGAAGAUCAUGAUUUUCCAAUUCUGACAUGAUGCCAAACAUGACCCAACAAUGUAUACGAUUUAAGUGCACAUAUUUGCUCAACGCAUGGAAACACCACAACUCUGCCCAAAGGAUUCAAAAGAAGAAAAUUACAAGUGUUUUGAAAGAAGAUUGAUGCAAAAACAUGAAGAAAAAAGCCUUGAAAGAAAUGUUGAAGAUUGAAACAGCUCACUUAGCGCACAAGACAAACCCAGCGCGCCCCCUUACUUAGCGGCCAGUUCAAGCUUAGCGCGAAGAAGGCUCACGAAGAAGGUCAAAGGUGCGCUUAGCGCGAAUCCUGCGCUAAGGGCGUGAUCACGACCAUACUUGUUAAGCCCAAAAGGUCCGCUUAGUACGAGGUCGCCUGAGCUAACUUAGGCCUAUAAGAGGAGUAGGAAGCAAAGGAAAAAGACACACCGAGACUAAGAGUUAUCUAAUGAAUACAUCCUAAGUCUGAGUAUCUCAAAUAGGAAAAAUCUUUUUUUUUAUGUUUAUCAUUCCCUUCUCUUCCUUUAUCCAUCCAUUCUCUUCUUCUAUUCACAUCAACUCUUAAAGUAUAAAGCAUGACCAUGAGAGGCUAAACCCCAUUGUUGGGAGCCUAACAGGUCAAUUCUUGUAAUGUAAUUUUUUUCCUAAUAUCUAUUUAAUGCAAUCCAGUUUUUAUUGCUCA